UACAGAGGUCUCAAGCGUUGUUCGGAUUCAUUGGGCGUAAAGGGUGCGUAGGUGGCGCGGUAAGUCGGGUGUGAAAUUUCGGAGCUUAACUCCGGAACUGCAUUCGAUACUGCCGUGCUUGAGGACUGGAGAGGAGACUGGAAUUUACGGUGUAGCAGUGAAAUGCGUAGAGAUCGUAAGGAAGACCAGUGGCGAAGGCGGGUCUCUGGACAGUUCCUGACACUGAGGCACGAAGGCCAGGGGAGCAAACGGG
rnacentral:rRNA from 1 species